rnacentral:rRNA from 1 species
GACGAACGCUGGCGGCGUGCUUAACACAUGCCAGUCGAACGGAAAGGCCUGCUUUCCCUUGUGGAUUGCGGGUACUCGAGUGGCGAACGGGUGAGUAACACGUGAGUGAUCUGCCCCCAACUUGGGUAUAAGCCUGGGAAACUGGGUCUAAUUCCCGAUAGGACUGCAGGGUGGUGCCUGUGGUGGAAAACGAUUUUCUAGUGGUUGGGGAUGAGCUCGCGGCCUAUCAGCUUGUUGGUGGGGUAAUGUCCUACCAAGGCGGCGACGGGUAGCCGGCCUGAGAGGGUGGACGGCGACAUUGGGACAGAGAUACGGCCCAGACUCCUACGGGAGGCAGGAGUGGGGAAUAUUGCACAAUGGGCGGAAGCCUGAUGCAGCGACGCAGCGUGGGGGAUGACGGCCUUCGGGUUGUAAACUCCUUUCGACCGAGAGGAAGCCACCUGGUUGGAAGGGUGGUGACGGUAGUGGUAGAAGAAGCACCGGCUAACUACGUG